rnacentral:lncRNA from 1 species
CCCGCGCUCCUCCGGGCAGAGCGCGUGUGGCGGCCGAGCACAUGGGCCCGCGGGCCGGGCGGGCUCGGGGCGGCCGGGACGAGGAGGGGCGACGACGAGCUGCGAGCAAAGAUGUGCCCCGGGACCCCCGGCACCUUCCAGUGGAUUUCCUUGCGGAAAGGAUGUUGGCGGUCCCUGUGACCUGUGGAGACACGGCCAGAUCUGCCCUCCAGCCUGAUCUUUUGGCCAGAAGGAGAUUAAAAAGAUGCCCCUCAAGAUGGCUGUGCCUGUCAGCUGCAUGGAGCUUCGUUCAAGUAUUUUCUGAGCCUGAUGGAUUUACAGUGAUCUUCAGUGGUCUGGGGAAUAACGCUGGUGGAACCAUGCACUGGAAUGACACACGCCCGGCACAUUUCAGGAUACUAAAAGUGGUUUUAAGGGAGGCUGUGGCUGAAUGCCUCAUGGAUUCUUACAGCUUGGAUGUCCAUGGGGGACGAAGGACUGCAGCUGGCUGAGAGGGUUGAGAUCUCUGUUUACUUAGAUCUCUGCCAACUUCCUUUGGGUCUCCCUAUGGAAUGUAAGACCCCGACUCUUCCUGGUGAAGCAUCUGAUGCACGUUCCAUCCGGCGCUCAGCUGGGCUUGAGCUGACCAUACUCCCUGGAGCCUUCUCCCGAGGUGCGCGGGUGACCUUGGCACAUACAGCCAUCAUGAUGGUACUUUAAGUGGAGGCUGAAUCAUCUCCCCUUUGAGCUGCUUGGCACGUGGCUCCCUUGGUGUUCCCCUUUUACUGCCAGGACACUGAGAUUUGGAGAGAGUCUCACUCUGUGGUCCAGGCUGAAGUACAGUGGCAUGAUCCCAGGUCACUGCAACCCCCACCUCCCGGGUUCAAGUGAUCCUCCUGCCUCAGCCUCCCGAGUAGCUGGUAUUACAGGCGUGUGCCACAAAGCCUGGCUAAGUUUUGUAUUUUUAGUAGAGACGGGGUUUCACCAUGUUGGCCAGGUUGGUCUCGAACUCCUGACCUCAAGUGAUCCACUCACUUUGGCCUUUCAACGUGCUGGGAUUACAGGCGAGAGUCACCGCACCCGGACGACUCUGACAUUUUUGAAGAGUCCAGAAUCCUGUUACACCUGGGAUUUAGGCACUUUCAAUCUGAAAAAAUACAUAUCCUUUCAGCACUCUGGACGGACUUGAGAACUGUCCUUACGUGACCUAAAGCUGGAGUAUUUUGAGAUUGGAGAAUUAAGAGUGUGGGCACCCUGGCUUCAAGCUCACGAGAAACCAGAAGGAAGUCACUGUGCAUAGCCAUCCCCUAAGAAGAGGGCAUUCCUGCUCUUCCUUCUCCAUGGCUAGAGGAUCUACAUGAACUAUUUAGAUUUUUUCUACCUGGGAGAUUUAACUCCUCUCUCCUAUUUAUUUAUUUAUAUAUCAGCAUGGACUUGCAGGCCAACAGAGAUUUUGAGAAACACAUUGAAGGAUCUGUUAACACUUGAUAUACCCAAUAAAAGCAGUGGUUGUGCCAGUGCUGAUCUGUCUUGAUGUGAAUGUGAACAAUGGGAACCUGAGCUGAGCAGUUAAUGCUAGGGUGACAGAAACUGGACCUCUCCCAAGACAUGUGACAGAGUAAUACAGCAGCCAACUUCUUCGCCAAAUUAAAGUUUUACAAGAUUUAACCUGUCAUCAAGACCUGGGAUUUUGGUGGACAGAAUAACGGGCUCCCAGAUUCACAAGCCCCACCAAGAGGAUCACCCCAGGAACGCUUGGAGGCUGAGGAGUUCACUGAGGCUACUGCAUCUUGAGACUCAGGAUGAAGACCCAGCUUGGGGCUGUCAAAGGUUUUUUGCAUGUCUGACACCCAUGACUCCACCUGGACCUUAUGGCUCCACCCAGAAGCAAUUCAGCCCAACAGGAGGACAGCUUCAACCCAUUACGAUUUCAUCUCUGCCCCAACCACUCAGCAGCAAGCACCUGUUACCUGUCCACCCCCACCCCUUCCCCCAAACUGCCUUUGAAAAAUCCCUAACCUAUGAGCUUUGAAUAAGAUGAGUACGAACUUCAUCGCCCACGUGGCGUGGCCGGCCUCGUGUCUAUUAAAUUCUUUUUCUACUACAA